UCUUAUAAAUGAGCAAACAAAGUGGUUUCUUCAGAUGGAAUCUACUCCUGGUGAAGACACUGUGAA
rnacentral:pre_miRNA from 1 species